AAUCAACGCUGGCGGCGUGCCUCAGACAUGCAAGUCGAACGAUUAAACUUUCCUUCGGGAAAGAUAUAAAGUGGCGCACGGGUGAGUAACACGUAGGUAAUGUACCUUUGGGUGGGGAAUAACCAUCGGAAACGAUGGCUAAUACCGCAUAAUGCAGCGGCAUCGCAAGAUGACAGUUGUAAAGCGAGCAAUCGCGCCUAAAGNGCAGCCUGCGGCAGAUUAGGAGUUGGUAAGGUAAUGGCUUACCAAGCCUGCGAUCUGUAACCGACCUGAGAGGGUGGUCGGUCACACUGACACUGAAUAACGGGUCAGACUCCUACGGGAGCAGCAGUAGGGAAUCUUGCGCAAUGGGCGAAAGCCUGACGCAGCCAUGCCGCGUG
rnacentral:rRNA from 1 species